rnacentral:rRNA from 1 species
UACGGAGGGAGCUAGCGUUGUUCGGAAUUACUGGGCGUAAAGCGCACGUAGGCGGCUUUGUAAGUUAGAGGUGAAAGCCCGGAGCUCAACUCCGGAACUGCCUUUAAGACUGCAUCGCUUGAAUCCAGGAGAGGUGAGUGGAAUUCCGAGUGUAGAGGUGAAAUUCGUAGAUAUUCGGAAGAACACCAGUGGCGAAGGCAGCUCGCUGGAACGGUACUGACGCUGAGGCGCGAAAGCGUGGGGAGCAAACAGG